rnacentral:sRNA from 1 species
AAAGGCACAGGCUCUCUGGACACUUACCUAUCUUUUUUUUUUUACUUAUAGUGGCCUUUGGUUUCUCAUUCAUCUCUUUUAACUUCUUAAACAGAAUAUGGUGCACCUGAAGAGUGGGAACUCAAAACACAGCAGCCACUCAUGCUUAAAAACCAGCUACUAACACUGAAGAUAAAGUACCCUCAUCAACUUGAUCAGAAAGUCCUGGAGAAACAACUGCCGGGCUCCAUGACAAUUCAAAAGGUGAAGGGAUUGCUGUCACGUCUUCUCAAAGUUCCUGUGUCAGACCUUCUGUUGUCCUAUGAAAGUCCCCAAGUAAGUUGCCCAGCAAAAUACAAAGUCAAGCUUAGUCCUCAUAUUAUGACAUUAAACUGUCUCUAGAUAGCAACAGUUUGAUUCUAAAUGGAGACCAUAGGUCUGUUUGAUUUUAAGGGUAA